AGCUCCAAUAGCGUAUAUUAAAGUUGUUGCAGUUAAAAAGCUCGUAGUUGGAUUUGUGGCGUACGACAGGCUCCCGUCACUAUUUGGUGUCGGUGUUGCUUGGCGUUGCCAUCCUUGGGUGGAAUCUGUGUGGCAUUAGGUCGUCGUGCAGGGGAUGCCCAUCGUUUACUGUGAAAAAAUUAGAGUGUUCAAAGCAGGCUUACGCCGUUGAAUAUAUUAGCAUGGAAUAAUAAGAUAGGACCUUGGUACUAUUUUGUUGGUUUGCGCACCGAGGUAAUGAUUAAUAGGGACAGUUGGGGGUAUUCGUAUUUCAUUGUCAGAGGUGAAAUUCUUGGAUUUUUGAAAGACGAACUACUGCGAAAGCAUUUACCAAGGAUGUUUUCAUUAAUCAAGAACGAAA
rnacentral:rRNA from 1 species